rnacentral:rRNA from 1 species
GCCGGCAGCUAGCUCUCUGCAACUCUCACAUGGUCGCCCACUGAAGCUAAGCAGGGCUGUGCCCGGUCAGUACCUGGAUGGGAGAUCACAUGGGAACACUAGGUUGCUGCUGGAA